rnacentral:lncRNA from 1 species
UUGAAACAUAUUAAAGCAUGCUCUCUAGGCUUUUCUUCAUCAUCCAAACUAUUUUAUCAACUAAACUUCCCUUUUCCUAGUUUUUUUUUAUUAUUUUCUUGCCUUAUUCCGUCUUGCAAUCAUGAACUGCAAAACUUGCUUUCAUCUUCUCUUAGCUUUAUUCAUACCAAGUUCCGUACUUUGCUUGGCUAUGACAGUCAGGAAUCUCAACUCCGAUCAGUUUGCGCUUCUCGAGUUUAAGGAUCGCAUUGCCGGUCCUCAAAAUGUCUUGGCAGACAAUUGGACGGCCUCAACCUCUGUUUGCAAUUGGAUUGGUGUUUCUUGUGGCAUCCUCCAUAAAAGAGUUAUAGCUUUGAAUCUUACAAGCAUGAAUCUUAGGGGUACUAUCCCUCCACACCUUGGAAAUCUUUCAUUUCUACUCUCUCUCGACUUGAGUUACAACCAUUUCUAUGGCCAUCUCCCUAAAGAAUUGGGCCAAUGGCAUCGUUUGAGGAUCCUUCAAUUAAGCUACAACCAUCUGAAUGGGUAAAUUCCAUCAUGGCUUGGGAACUUACAGAGAGUUCAAAGGCUACAAAUGAAAAAUAAUUACUUUACAGGCACAAUCCCUGAAACACUUGUUAACAUAUGUAAUCUAGAGAUCUUGAACUUGGGAGUCAGUCAAUUAUCUGGUCAGGUUCCAUCUUCCAUCUUCAAAAUAUCUUCUCUGAAGAUUAUUAUUCUCUCCAACAAUAGCCUAUCAGGUAGUUUGCCUAAUGAUAUGUGUCAACAUCUUCCCAAGCUUGAAGUGCUUUACUUGCAUAGCAAUGAGUUAUCUGGUAACAUUCCGUCAAGUAUGGGCAAAUGCAGCAACCUUAAAAAUUUGUCCUUGUCCUUGAAUCAAUUGACGGGGAUCAUUCCAAGAAGUAUUGGGAAUCUGACACAACUCAGAGAAUUAUAUUUGGGAUUGAAUAAUCUAGAAGGUAAUCAAUUUCCUUGAUUUCUUGAAUUUUAAGGAUUUUUUUCAUAAAAGGGUUUGAUUUGUAAGAGAUAACAAAUGGAAAAAGUUUUUAUUUCAUUUGAUGAAAAACAUAUGCUGAAAUAUAUGAAAAUCUAACAUCUCCAAAUUACCAUAGAACAGAAAAGAAAACCUCUUUGACUUAUGCUAACAAAAUAGGUAGUUUGACACCUUGAUUUUUCGACUAUGUGUGCAGGUCAAAUUCCUGAGGAAAUCGGUAAUCUUCUUGGUUUGGAACUGCUUAAUAUUCGAGCAAUUAAAGGCCUUACAGGUCAGAUUCCAAGUUCCAUCUUCAACAUUUCUUCUCUGAAGACCAUUAGUCUCUCCAACAAUAGCCUAUCAGGUAGUUUGCCUAAUGAUAUUUGUCAACAUCUUCCCAAGCUUGAAGUGCUUUACUUGCAUAGCAAUGAGUUAUCUGGUAACAUUCCGUCAAGUAUGGGCAAAUGCAGCAACCUUAAAAGUUUGUCCUUUUCCUUGAAUCAACUGACGGGGAUCCUUCCAAGAAGUAUUGGGAAUCUGACACAACUCAGAGAAUUAUAUUUGGGAUUGAAUAAUCUAGAAGGUAAUCAAUUUCCUUGAUUUCUUGAAUUUUAAGUAUUUUUUUAAUAAAAGAGUUUGAUUUGUAAUAGAUAACAAAAGGAAAAAGUUUUUAUUUCAUUUGAUGAAAAACAUAUGCCGAAAUAUAUGAAAAUCUAACAUCUCCAAAUUACUGUAGAACAGAAAAGAAAACCUC